UACGGAGGGUGCGAGCGUUGUCCGGAAUCAUUGGGCGUAAAGGGCGCGUAGGUGGCCUGCUAAGCGUGCGGUGAAAGUCGGGGGCUCAACCCCCGAUCGGCCGUGCGAACUGGGAGGCUUGAGCACUGUAGAGGCAGGCGGAAUUCCGGGUGUAGCGGUGGAAUGCGUAGAGAUCCGGAAGAACACCGGUGGCGAAGGCGGCCUGCUGGGGAGUUUUGCUGACACUGAGGCGCGACAGCGUGGGGAGCAAACAGG
rnacentral:rRNA from 1 species